ACAAAAUGCUACAAUUAAUUCUUUCAUAAGUUAGUAAAUGCUUUCUAACUCAUGUCUCCACAGUUACUCUUAUUUUACUUAUAAUCAAUUUUCCCCAUGCCUGUUGAAGAGAUACAUUAAAAACUUAAAUCCAUUCAUAUCAUUCCCUUGAUUAAAACCCUUUCUGUACACCUAAAAAUUUCUUAAAGGCCAAGACUCUCCAGAAGGUGCAGCAUGACCCAGACCCUGUCUACGUCAUUGGCUUCCUGUACACACUUUGCUGACAACUUGCUGAGCUCCAGCCCCCUGGACCUGGCUCCCUCUCUCUCCCAUUCCCUAUUCCCCUUCACCUAAACUCACCUCCUCAGGGAAGACUUCUUGACCUUCCAUCUCUGGUCAGGUCUUCCUAAAAGCAGCUUGUACUUCUCCAUCCGUAGCAUGUAUCACAAUUUACAGUAAUGAAUUGUAAAAUUUAUUAUUGAAUAUCUAUUUUUUCCUUGAUAAGAGACCUAUGAGAUCUAGGAUGGUAUUUUUCAUGUUCUCAUUUCCCCAAAGCUUAGAGGAGUGCCAGGUACCUAGUAAUAGUCACUACUUACUGAGUGCUUACUACAUGACAGGAACUGUUUCAAGAACUUACAUGCAUUAACUAAUAUAACCCUUGUCGCAGGCCUAUAGAUUAGGUGCUAUUAUCUUCAUUUAGACACAGGAAGAAGAUCCUGUAGCUUUGAAGAGUGGAGCUGGAAUUGAAAUCCAGACAGACUGAUUUUAAGAUAUCUCUUAAUUACAAUUCCACAUUACCACAUAGUUGGCAUUUAGUAAGUAUUUGUUUGAUGAAAGAUAUUUUCCAAAUAGCUAUGGCCAGACACUAUACAUGAUAUGGGAGACCAAGAAGCAAGAAAACAGAGUCCAACCCUUACUAGGGUGAAGAGACUGUUUUGUCACGGGCCAGAAGUCACUGGGAGCAGACAACUGCAGCUCAAAGUGGUUAAACAAAGAAGAGGAGGAAAAAAGAGGAGAGAAAAAGCUUUGCCGCUGAGUUUUUUUCGUCAGGGAGGAAGAAAAAGAUUUUGUAUUUCAUAACAGAGAGCAUUAAAAUGAUGUAGCCCCACACAAUGAAAACCUUGUGUUUUAUUAAAGUGAAAAGGCUUGCUCAAGGCCUCCAUUACUCAUUUCCGGAUGGAAUGGCAAAACUUCAAGUUUGAAAAGACUCAAGUAGCUACAAUCAAGCUUUCCCUGGUAGCAGCUGAUAACACAGCACUUUCCAGAAAUCCAUUUUGUAGACUGUGCAGAUCAGCUAUUUUCAGGACUCUCAGAGCGAACUCUGCCACAAAAGGCAUAGCAGCACAGAAAACCUGGAGAUACUUAGUGCUGUAAGAAUGUUUUCCACUAUUUUAGGGAGGGAAUUGACGGGGAAUUCAAUGGAUGGGUAAAGAGGUCACUACCAUAAUGCGAAGGCCAGUGUUUCAGUGUCUCCAUCCCACAGCUCGAAAGGACCAAAGCAGAAAGUACUCAAAGGCCUGUUACCCCACUCACCUUCCCCUUCUAUCAGAAGGACAGCGUUCAGAGACUCAGGGAUAGACGUCAGGUAGCAAACAGCAACUCUCAUGCCAGUUCCUCAUUUAAGCUGGAGAACAGGCACCUGGUCUUCAUUAACAUUGCUGCGGUAGUUAAUGCGUUGCAGGUGUGAAAGUGUGUGGCUGAACUCUGACAAAACACCUGUCUUUUGUGGCACCAUUAGAUCUGCCUAGUGUGGGACACGACCCCCUCGGGUGUGCUUUCUUCUGCCUUGAAAGCCACAGUAAGCAUUGUCCUGUAAUUACAAAAUCAGAGUCAUCAUUGCUGGGAAGAAUUCCUUAACAAAUUAUACCUAAUUAGUCUGAAAUUACCUUUAAUUCAUGGUGAAACCAUAGGCUUAACUGUGUUCUAUAACACCUUCCUUUUUAUCUUUAUGCAAAUAUGAUUAUACACUAUCAAACUGGCACCACCAGGCAUAAAAAACAGCUGCAGCUAGUUCUUUGGUUACUAAAUGGGAACUGGACGCAUGCCAUUGAUUAUGUUUUCUGAAAUGCUGCAUCAAAAAAAUAAUAAUAA